GUCACGCGUUUUCUCUUCGCAAAUCCCCCAUUUAACCAGAAAAUCAUGCAUUUUCUCUUCGAGAAUCCCCCAUUUAACCCGAAAACCACGCGUUUUCUCUACGAGAAUCCCCCAUUUAACGUGAAAAUGACGCGUUUUAUCUUUGCAAGUCGCACAUUUAAGCGAAAAUCACGCGUUUCCUUUUGGCGAAUACCCCAUUUAAGUGAAAAUCACACGUUUUCUCUUCUCAAAUCCCCCAUUUAAGCGAAAAUCACGCGUUUUCUCUUCGAGAAUCCCCCAUUUAACACAAAAAAACACGCGUUUUCUCUUCAGAAAUCCCACAUUUAAGCGAAAAUCACACGUUUUCUCUUUGAGAAUCAUCAAUUUAAGCGAAAAUCACACGUUUUCUCUUCGCAAAUCCCCCAUUUAACUUGAAAAUCACGCGUUUUCUCUACACAAAUCCCCCAUUUAUGCGAAAAACACGAGCUUUCUUUUCGCAAAUCACACAUUUAUGCGUAAAUCACGUUUUCUCUUUGAGAAUCCUACAUUUAAGUGAAAAUCACGCGUUUUCUCAAAUCCCACAUUUAAGCGAAAGUCACGCGUUUUCUCUUCAAAAAUCCCCCAUUUAACCAGAAAACCAAGCAUUUUCUCUUCGAGAAUCCCCCACUGAACCCGAAUAUCAUGUAUUUACUCAAAUCCCCCAUUUAAGCGAAAAUCACGCAUUUUCUCUUUGCAAAUCCCCCAAUUAACACAAAAAAACACGCAUUUUCUCUUCAGAAAUCCCACAUUUAAGCGAAAAUCACACGUUUUCCCUUCGCAAGUCCUCCAAUUAUGUGAAAAUCUCGCGUUUUCUCUUUGAGAAUCGUCAAUUUUAGUGAAAAUCAAGCGUUUUCUCUUUGAGAAUCCCCCAUUUAAGUGAAGAUCACGAAUUUUCUCUUCUCAAAUACCCCAUUUAAGCGAAAAUCACGCGUUUUCUCUUCGAGAAACCAACAUUUAACGUAAAUCACGCGUUUUCUCAAAUCCCCCAUUUCAGCGAAAGUCACACGUUUUCUCUUCGCAAAUCACACAUUUAUGCAAAAAUCACGUUUUCUCUUCGAGAAUCCUCCAUUUAACGUGUAAAUGACACGUUUUCUCUUUGCAAGUCCUCCAAUUAUGUGAAAAUCUCGCGUUUUCUCUUUGAGAAUCGUCAAUUUUAGUGAAAAUCAAGCGUUUUCUCUUUGAGAAUCCCCCAUUUAAGUGAAGAUCACGAAUUUUCUCUGCUCAAAUACCCCAUUUAAGCGAAAAUCACGCGUUUUCUCUUCGAGAAACCAACAUUUAACGUAAAUCACGCGUUUUCUCAAAUCCCCCAUUUAAGCGAAAAUCACGCAUUUUCUCUUUGCAAAUCCCCCAUUUAACCCGAAAACCACGCGUUUUCUCUUCGAGAAUCCAACAUUUAACCCGAAAACCACGCGUUUUCUCUUCCAGAAUCCCCCAUUUAACCCGAAAAUCAAGCGUUUUCUCUUCGCAAAUCCCCCAUUUAAGCAAAAACACGCAUUUUCUCUUCACAAAUCCGCCGUUUAAGCAAAAAACACGCAUUUUCUUUUCAGGAAUCUUCCAUUUAACCCGAAAAUCUCGCGUUUUCUUUUUGCAAAUCCCCCAUUUAACCCGAAAAUCACGCGUUUUCUCUUUGAGAAUCCAACAUUUAAGCGAAAAUCACGCGUUUUCUCAAAUCCCACAUUUAAGCGAAAGUCACGCGUUUUCUCUUCGCAAAUCCCCCAUUUAACCAGAAAACCAAGCAUUUUCUCUUCGAGAAUCCCCCACUGAACCCGAAUAUCAUGUGUUUACUCAAAUCCCCCAUUUAAGCGAAAAUCACGCAUUUUCUCUUUGCAAAUCCCCCAAUUAACACAAAAAAGCACGCAUUUUCUUUUCAGAAAUCCCACAUUUAAGCGAAAAUCACACGUUUUCCCUUCGCAAGUCCUCCAAUUAAGUGAAAAUCUCACGUUUUCUCUUUGAGAAUCGUCAAUUUAAGUGAAAAUCACGCGUUUUUUCUUCGCAAAUCUUCCAUUUAAGUGAAGAUCACGAAUUUUCUCUUCUCAAAUACCCCAUUUAAGCGAAAAUCACGCGUUUUCUCUUCGCAAAUCCCCCAUUUAAGCGAAAAUCACGCGCUUUCUCUUCGAGAAUCCCCCAUUUAACACAAAAAAACACGCGUUUUCUCUUCAGAAAUCCCACAUUUAAGCGAAAAUCACACGUUUUCUUUUUGAGAAUCAUCAAUUUAAAUGAAUAACAAGCGUUUUCUCUUUGAGAAUCCCCCAUUUAAGCGAAUAUCACACAUUUUCUCUUCGAGAAACCUCCAUUCAACCCGAAACUCACAAGUUUUUCACUUCGCGAAUCCCCCAUUUAAGCAAAAAUCACGCGUUUUCUCUUCACAAAUCCCCCAUUUAUGCGAAAAUCACGUGUUCUUUUUGCAAAUCCCCCAUUUAAGCAAAAAUCAUGCGUUUUCUCUUCGAGAAUCCCCCAUUUCACCCUAAAAACAUGCGUUUUCUCUUCGCAAAAACCCCAAUUAAGUGAAAAUCUCGCGUUUUCUCUUUGAGAAUCGUCAAUUUUAGUGAAAAUCAAGCGUUUUCUCUUUGAGAAUCCCCCAUUUAAGUGAAGAUCACGCAUUUUCUCUUCUCAAAUACCCCAUUUAAGCGAAAAUCACGCGUUUUCUCUUCGAGAAACCAACAUUUAACGUAAAUCACGUGUUUUCUCAAAUCCCCCAUUUAAGCGAAAAUCACACGUUUUCUCUUCGCAAAUCCCCCAUUUAACCAGAAAAUCACGUGUUUUCUCUACACAAAUCUGCCAUUUAUGCGAAAAACACGCGUUUUCUUUUCGCAAAUCCCACAUUUAUGCGAAAAUCACAUUUUCUCUUUGAGAAUCCUCCAUUUAAUGUGUAAAUGACACGUUUUCUCUUUGCAAGUCCCACAUUUAAGCGAAAAUCACGCGUUUUCUUUUCGCGAAUCCCCCAUUUAAGCGAAAGUCACGCGUUUUCUCUUCGCAAAUCCCCCAUUUAACCCGAAAACCACGCGUUUUCUAUUCGAGAAUCCCCCAUUUAACCCGAAAACCACGCGUUUUCUCUUCGAGAAUCCCCCAUUUAACGUGAAAAUGACGCGUUUUAUCUUUGCAAGUCGCACAUUUAAGCGAAAAUCACCCGUUUUCUUUUCGCGAAUACCCCAUUUAAGCGAAAAUCACGUUUUCUCUUCUCAAAUCCCCCAUUUAAGCGAAAAUCACGCGUUUUCUCUUCGAGAAUCCCCCAUUUAACACAAAAAAACACGCGUUUUCUCUUCAGAAAUCCCACAUUUAAGCGAAAAUCACACGUUUUCUCUUUGAGAAUCGUCAAUUUAAGCGAAAAUCACACGUUUUCUCUUCGCAAAUCCCCCAUUUAACUUGAAAAUCACGCGUUUUCUCUUCACAAACCCCCCAUUUAUGCGAAAAACACGAGCUUUCUUUUCGCAAAUCACACAUUUAUGCGUAAAUCACGUUUUCUCUUUGAGAAUCCAACAUUUAAGUGAAAAUCACGCGUUUUCUCAAAUCCCACAUUUAAGCGAAAGUCACGCGUUUUCUCUUCGCAAAUCCCCCAUUUAACCAGAAAACCAAGCAUUUUCUCUUCGAGAAUCCCCCACUGAACCCGAAUAUCAUGUAUUUACUCAAAUCCCCCAUUUAAGCGAAAAUCACGCAUUUUCUCUUUGCAAAUCCCCCAAUUAACACAAAAAAACACGCAUUUUCUCUUCAGAAAUCCCACAUUUAAGCGAAAAUCACGCGUUUUCUCUUCGAGAAUCCAACAUUUAACCCGAAAACCACGCGUUUUCUCUUCGAGAAUCCCCCAUUUAACCCGAAAAGCAAGCGUUUUCUCUUCGCAAAUCCCCCAUUUAAGCAAAAACACGCAUUUUCUCUUCACAAAUCCGCCGUUCAAGCAAAAAACACGCAUUUUCUUUUCAGGAAUCUUCCAUUUCACCCGAAAAUCUCGCGUUUUCUUUUUGCAAAUCCCCCAUUUAACCCGAAAAUCACGCGUUUUCUCUUUGAGAAUCCAACAUUUAAGCGAAAAUCACGCGUUUUCUCAAAUCCCACAUUUAAGCGAAAGUCACGCGUUUUCUCUUCGCAAAUCCCCCAUUUAACCAGAAAACCAAGCAUUUUCUCUUCGAGAAUCCCCCAUUUCACCCUAAAAACAUGCGUUUUCUCUUCGCAAGUCCUCCAUUUAAGCGAAAAUCACGCGUUUUCUCUUCGCUAAUCCCCCAUUUAACCCGAAAAUCGCACAUUUUCAAUUUGCAAAUCCCUCAUUUAAGCGAAAAACACGCGUUUUCUCUUCACAAAUCCGCCAUUUAAGCAAAAAUCACUCCUUUUCUCUUCAGGAAUCUUCCAUUUAACGAGAAAAUCACGCGUUUUCUCUACACAAAUCCCCCAUUUAUGCGAAAAUCACGCGUUUUCUCUUCGGAAAUCCCCCAUUUAAGUGAAAAUCACGCGUUUUCUCUUCGAGAAUCCAACAUUUAAGCGAAAAUCACACGUUUUCCCUUCGCAAGUCCUCCAAUUAAGUGAAAAUCUCGCGUUUUCUCUUUGAGAAUCGUCAAUUUUAGUGAAAAUCAAGCGUUUUCUCUUUGAGAAUCCACCAUUUAAAUGAAGAUCACGAAUUUUCUCUGCUCAAAUACCCCAUUUAAGCAAAAAUCACGCGUUUUCUCUUCGAGAAUCCCCCAUUUAACCAAAAAUCACACGUUUUCUCUUCGCAAAUCCCCCAUUUAAGCGAAAAUCACGCGUUUUCUCUACACAAAUCCCCCAUUUAUGCGAAGAACACGCGUUUUCUUUUCGCAAAUCACACAUUUAUGCGUAAAUCACGUUUUCUCUUCGAGAAUCCAACAUUUAAGUGAAAAUCACGCGUUUUCUCAAAUCCCACAUUUAAGCAAAAGUCACGCGUUUUCGCUAAUCCCCCAUUUAACCAGAAAACCAAGCAUUUUCUCUUCGAGAAUCCCCCAUUGAACCCGAAUAUCAUGUGUUUACUCAAAUCCCCCAUUUAAGCAAAAAUCACGCAUUUUCUCUUUGCAAAUCCCCCAAUUAACACAAAAAAACACGCAUUUUCUCUUCAGAAAUCCCACAUUUAAGCGAAAAUCACACGUUUUCCCUUCGCAAGUCCCCCAUUUAAGCGAAAAUCACGCGUUUUCUUUUCGCGAAUCCCCCAUUUAAGCAAAAAUCACGACUCUUCUCUUCGCAAAUCCCCCAUUCAACCCGAAAAUCACGCGUUUUCUCUUCGAGAAUCCCCCUUUUAACCCGAAAACCACGCGUUUUCUCUUCGAGAAUCCAACAUUUAACCAGAAAAUCACGCGUUUUAUCUUUGCAAGUCCCCCAUUUAAGCGAAAAUCACGCAUUUUCUCUUUGCGAAUACCCCAUUUAACACAAAAAAACACGCAUUUUCUCUUCAGAAAUCCCACAUUUAAGCGAAAAUCACACGUUUUCCCUUCGCAAAACCCCCAUUUAACCCGAAAAUCUCGCAUUUUCUCUUUGAGAAUCGUCAAUUUAAGCAAAAAUCACACGUUUUCUCUUCGCAAAUCACACAUUUAUGCGAAAAUCACGUUUUCUCUUCGAUAAUCCUCCAUUUAACGUGUAAAUGACACGUUUUCUCUUUCAAGUCCCCCAUUUAAGCGAAAAUCACGCGUUUUCUUUUAGCAAAUCCCCCAUUUAAGUGAAAAUCACGCGUUUUCUCUUCGAGAAUCCAACAUUUAACGAAAAUCACGCGUUUUCUCAUAUCCCCCAUUUAAGCGAAAAUCACGCGUUUUCUCUUCGCAAAUCCCCCAUUUAAC
ensembl:lncRNA